UGCUGGUAUAUGCUCAUGAGACGCAACAUGAAUAAAUCAUAAGUUACGCUUAUGAAGAUCCGUUUGAUGGAUGGCAACCAUUGUUGCAAAACUACGAGGUAGAUGGGAUGACUAAUCCAAUAGAGCUUUCAGGUUGCUUCGGGUUAGGCUUGGUAUGUGGUUUCGGGUCAGUUUCGAUAACUGAUUAUAGGUAAAAUCGACAACGGGAUGCCAUCCCCUCAAUCUUCCUCCCCCCGGAUUGAUGUUUAUUAAUGUGUGGUUUUAUUUGAAUCGAACAGCGCGGAAACCUGCUAUUGGCUUUAUUAACCGAAAUUGUAUUCCAACUGUUGUGAUUCUUUUAGGUUUAUUUGUAAUUUGCUCUGCUAGAUAUAUCUUUUUCUUUUUUAAAAAUAUCAGCAUGAUUAAUAUCCAUAGGUGUGGUCUUCUUAGGAUCUUAUUCUUAAUUAUGUUGAUGUAGUUUAUGUAAUGAAUAACAUUAUUUUUCUGCGUACACAUAUUGAUGAUGACCAU